CCUUCCUGUCACAAACGCGAUCUUCCCCUUUACCCUUUCUACAAUCCCUAAUCUCCUGAAACCUUUGCUCUUCUUUUCUCUGUCGAUCAUGAAACCUUUCCUAUUCCUUUUCUCUGUUCCGUUUCGCGAUCUGAACGACGACCAUUCAAGACAGCCUUCACUUCUUUUCUCUCAUUUAUGGACUCUCUUAUAUAUGUUUUGUCCCUCUGAUUUUUCCACAUAUAACACAAAAUCACGGCUUUAUUCCGAUCCAAACUAAAUUCUCUCUACCGCACUGCAAUGAGUUCCAACGGAAAGUCCAUGGUACCUGGUGCCUCCAAGUCGGAGAAACCAAAGGGCGCUGCCGCUAACUCUUUUCCGGACACGACCAAGCCCAUCGCUGCACCCUCUGUCUCUUCAGACCUCUCCAUUGGCGCUCCCCCCCCCCUCUCGAAGAAAGACAAAGUCGAUUCGUCGGACUCCUCUUCCAGACUGACGAAACCCAGCUCCAAAACCGGUGUUGCUUCCGGUGUCUCGAUCGGCCGUCCUAAUCCGAAGACAUCUACUGAUGAUGGUAUCGUGUUGUAAUUUGGACAUUCGAGUUUUAGAUGAAAAAUGUUUGCAGGUCUCAAUACAAAGACAGCCAGACAAUGUGGAUCUCCAAAGCUAAUGAGGGCUCCUUGAUUGUGUUAUAGUCUACUGGAAGCUCAGUUGAUUAUAUUAGUUGCUUUGAAGAUUGCAGGACGCCUUCAUGAAACCGCUCUAGAUGCCGCCACUAAAGGGAACCGAUACAUCCACUCUUGCCUCAGGUACUUCCAUAAUGAUCUCAAUGGAGAGAAAUAAAUACCAUGCUUAGGUUAUCUAGCGGAGAUAACAAUAAGGAAGACAAGCGUUAGGAUCACAAGCCAAAGAUCCAAAUCUGAGUCGAUACUAGGUCAGAGAUCCAACCAGAUUCAGACAAGGCCAGCCAGAGUUUGGUUUUUGGCUCAUGCUUGGAGGCAGCGCACAGAGGAACAACGAAAAUAAUUCUUUUACUGGACACUAGACAACAUUCAAGAUUUUUUUCGACAAAAAGGAAUGUGUAGAGUAAGUGAGCGAAUCUCAAAUAUGUCGAAGAGAUUUUCAAUGCAACCAUCGUGAAAGAUGUUGUGGUUUACAAUGCAAUGGCUGAGGUUGUAAGCCGAUCAGUGAAACUAUAUUUUGUGUGGGGAAUAAUAGAAUAAAAGGAAAUAUUUACAAAAAGUGAUGAUUAAUAAAUACAGCGAGCUCGAAACAUAUAUAUAGUUCUGUGAAACCAACAAGUUAUUAAAAUGUUUGAUGAUU